GGGCAAGUGGCUUCGGUCACAAGAAAAUACGUACGGAGCCUCUCUAUUCGCUGUUGUCACGUAAGUUAUGCAUAUAGAUUUAUAGAUUAUCAAUAUACCACACUUUUCCAACAAAGAUAUAUACACAAAAUAGCAGAAAACAUAAUAUGAAUGAAUAAAUUAAAGCAUCAAGGUACAAAAAAUUCGUACGGAUGUUGUACUCAAAAAAUUCGUCAGGAUACAGAUGAUAUGAGCACAAGGUCUACUCCAACAAAAAAAACACUAGAAUAAACAUCAGUUCACCAUGCCAAAAUAAACAAGAUAAAGUAGGACUCAGUCCCAACAUUAGACAAGUAACUGUGCUCAGACAUUUCAGGUUACCAUAAAAGAUAAGUAAUUGUGCUUAGACAUUUCAGGUUGCCAAAAUAAUAUAAAUAAUUGAGUGACAUGAGAAGCCAACUAGUAAAAACAAUUUUCUUCUCAAAUCUUGCUUUUGCUUCCACACCAAGAACCCUGCAUAUAUACAAGAAAAAAUUAAUAGCUAGAGACACACCUAAAGUAAACUAAUCUAGGAUAUGAUCAUAUUUGACGCAAGAAUGUUUUUGUGGACUGACUAUCGCAUUCUUCCACUAGGAUAUGAUCAUGGUGAUAUUCUACUUUAUUUAGAAAAUUGACCACAUAAGGUCCAGAUCAAGAACCUAACAUUAACAUGCAAGGGUAAAUCCAGAUCCCAAAAAUCCAUAUCCCUAAUUAUUAUCUUUGGCUUCAACCUAUGUAACCCCUGGCCAUGGCAAGAGUCGAGGAGAGGUUUCAUAAUGCAGAGGGAAGGAAAUCUUAGGAUAGAUGGAGUCCGGAUUGAGGCGAUGGAGCAACACAAUCAUUGCCAGCUUAACCAAAUCUAAAAAGAGCAUACAUCUAUGGGCUAAAGAUAUCUACCAUUAGGACAGGGAAUCAGCAUUUUGGGAAUCAGAAUAGGGACUUAAAUCACAAAAUAAAUACAGAUGCAUGGAGCUUCUGAAUCAAGACUAUUAUAAAAUAAAUACCUGCAAGCUGGACCUUGCACCUGAAUCUGGAGAGAAGCGAUGUCCUACUGGUACAACCCUCUGGCGUUUGUUUUCUGUGGAGAAGAUACAGAUGCAUCAUCAUCAGUCAUCACAAAACACAUAUGACGAAAAGAUGUUUCUGAAAAAUUAUGUCUCUGAGAAAUUAAAAAAUAUGUCUCUGAGAAAUUAGAAGCAAAGAUGUUUCUGAAAUUCCAAGUGGCAAUUAUAGACAUCCAAUGUUUCUUAAAAAAAUUACAGAAAUUCAACGACCCAAUGAUUGCCAGAUCAGCUUCCAAACCUCCAUCGCUAAGAUACUAGCAGUGGUGCAAUUAUCAGGAUAUGCAAAGACAGGGCAAAGACAUAUGAGCUGACUACUGAUACAGGAAUCCAGAUCAAGUAUAUAUAUAUGUCUUCAUCUGCUUUACAGAAUGUGAAUGUGGUGAAAGGUCUCUCCAACGUAGAAUCCGAUAACUUCUGUUCUUUUAGCAAUCCCCAGAUCUCUUAUCUGUAAAAUAGUAAGAGAAGACAUGAACACUUAUUAGGUAAAGGCACUUAACUUGCACUUCUCAUUCCCUGUUUUCUGGAGCUGAUUCGAGUGUUUGGAGCCAAAGAGAGUAUAUACGACAUGUUUUCCGUACUAAUAAAAGAUUGGACAUAGCAACUUUUCUUUUUCCUGGUUUUUAAAUGUCCAUGGGGAGAGUCGAAGACAGCGAGCCCGAAAGGUAGCAAAACUUCAGUGUUACAGAAAUGGUGAAUGUAUGGUAUACAUAAUUAGUGCCAAAAAAAUACUUGCAUUGCUUCUUUGUUUUCUGUUUUCCAUUAAACUUUAGAUGCAUUUAACUGGGGUAUUACUGCCUUCGCGAUUUCCAAAUUAAGCUUUAAAAGUAAGCCACAAAGUGUGUCAUCAUGUAUAUACAUGCAUUUUAAUCUAGCUGAUUUCUGAGGGAAGUAGAAAAUAGUGGGUAAAGGUCAAACGCAGCCACCACUUUAGAACUUUUCGGUCAGAUGAAAAUCUGUAUACCAGACCAUGCGUUUCAGUUAUGUAAUGGGGUUCAUACCUCAAUCCUUCAUACCUAUACUGUGUUUGCUAUAAUUGAGAUGAAUUCACUGUUUCUUUUAUGCAGGUCCACAACUUAAGAUUAGCAACUUCUCAGAGAUAGAAAUUUGGAAUGAUGAAUGUAUAUACUCUCUUUGGCUCUUUAAUCAUAGAAAGAAAUAUGUAUGUUUCAGUUUAUAAUCUAAAUGCACAAAAAUAAAAUACCCAGAGAGGGAGGGAGUUAUGGGGAGUCCUUACCCAAGCAAUAGCAGGAGGCACAGCGCCCUCAGAUCUCCUGCUGCUCUCAGAUUCUGGUUCUCGUGCUGUGUUGCUCGACGUCGAAGCCCUAAUCAGCCGUGGCCUAGCGAGACAGUCUGUGAGAAGAGCGGAUCAAGAAACACGAAACCCUAGCGCGAGGCAUAGAGAUGUAGGCUGAGGCGGGUUCACCGUUGCUGUGACCGAAGCGACGAGAAGGUGGAGGGUCGGCGGUGCCGGCGACAGCGACGUCAACGGCGAUGGCGACGAGAUGCUGGGGCGGCGAGCCGGCGACGACAAGGAUGCUGGAGCAGCGGCGGCUUCGCAACUGGGCAACGCCGCGAGUCGCGACUUCGCGAGUCAGCUGCGCGAGUCGGGG
rnacentral:lncRNA from 1 species